ensembl:lncRNA
GCCAGAGAGGAACUUGGGCUCUGUGAAGUCCUGGCAUCUGAUCAGUGCCUGAGCUGAAGCAGGCUGCAUUACCCAGCCUGGCUCCCCUGCACAAGGAAGGCUGCAGAAGACACAUCAAGCUGGCAUCCACAAGCCAGCAGAGCAGCACAGAGGAUUCUUCUUGCCUUUCUCUGCAAAAUGAGAACUCAUCCCUCCUUCUGGACCAGUUGGAAAAGUUACCAAAGCAAACUCCCUGCUUUUGCAGAAUACUGCUCUGACAAAGUAGACCUUGGGAAUCAGCCAUCACGGACAGCACCAGCUGGGAUCGGUCCUCUUUCCAUCACUGAUAUUAUAUAAACAUGUUGCUACAGAUUUACGUACAGCACAAGAGAACUAAACUUUCAAGAAGGCUGAGCUGCAGGCUCAACAAAGAAAACAGUGAUAGCAGAGGGUAGGUAACAAGGUGCUGAAUACAGGAGAAGCGAAAUAUUUAGAGAACUGGUGCGUGGGUUGCUGCCCUGCUGCCUGGUGAGCCCAUGGAAAGACUGGGUAUGCUUCUGCAUCUGGGAGCAGCUCCUUGCGUCAGAGCAACAUAGUGAGAAUGACCUCCAUGUCAGGCUUUCGGAUGAGGGUGGGUGCAACCAAGCCAACCCAGGGGAUUUUUGCUAUUGCUUAAAUUGACAGCAUAAAAUGGUGAAAAAGUUCAAGAAAGAGCGGAACACCCGUAACAAAAACAUUACAUUGGACAGAUGAUAAAGAAUUUUUAUUAUAGCUAACAGUGAACAGGAACCAAUCUCUGCACUGAAGCAGAAAAAGCAGUGAGCAAACAUGGGAACAGUGACUGACUGCAGACAUGCUGAAAUCAUUAAAAGCCAUGACAAGAAAAGUAUAGGCACCUUAUGCAAGAUUUAUGAAAGCUGCCUGAAGAAGGCUAUGCAAACUCUGCCAGAGAGAAUUAAGCAAGAAUUACCUAAAAACGUAUGUAAACAAGGUAUAGUGGAAGAGAAAGAGGCAACAGGAACACUGUGGGAAGUAACCUAGACAUCGGGUCAGAAACCACAGCAUCAGCACUUUGCCCUACAGCAGCGAUCAUGAGGAAAGGACAUUGAAGAACAAGUGCACGCCUCCUCCAGUAAAUCAAGUUUUCUGCUCAUGUACGUCAC